rnacentral:lncRNA from 1 species
CUCGCAGCUUCGCCAUAAGCUACGAAGGGGGGCCUCGCCCCGGGAAGGGGAGAGUGGCCUAGUGGUUAAAAGCGACAGACUGUAAAUCUGUUGAAGUUUUUCUACGUAGGUUCGAAUCCUGCCUCUCCCACUUGUUGUAGACUUUAGAGAAGAGAAAAGAGGCAUUCGUCAGCGUAGGAAGGCCAACCGAGCGAAGCUCCUUUGGCCGUUCCGUGAAGUUCAAUUGUAUCGUAUGUUAGUUAGAGAGGUUGGCGAACUACUAUGAUCUAUAGAUUCCGUGAAGUUCAAUUGUAUCGUAUGUUAGUUAGAGAGGUAGUCUUUUAGCUUAUAUAGUCGUCGGCCUUCCUACACGCACGCGUCUGCCAGAAUGCCUCUUUGGUUCGGUAUGAAGCCAAGCCGAUACAUACGAUAGGCGAAGGAAAGACCCCUAUUUUAUAGCGCCUGGGGAACGCAAGUUUGAUAGAGGAUUGGAGAAGAGAGGUGGAAGAAAACGCUCGGGAUGAAUUUAGGAGUCUUUGUGCGAGCCGUAUGCGGUGAGAGUCGCACGUACAGUAACGAGGGGGUUCGCGUCUAUACGUGUAGUGUGGUGGUUGGGCCUACCCACCCUAU